UAAAAGUUUUAUUCUUGCUUAAAUUUUAUUUACUUUUAUUUUGUGUUAUAUGUAAGUUCUGUUUACUUAAUGUUCUAUUUUGCAGUAAUUUAAUUUAAUUAUCAAGUAAUUUUGGAAUUAGUAAUUAUUUUAGUAUUGGCAUAUUUCGUGCCAGCAGCCGCGGUUAUACGAUUGAUACAAGUGAAUAUUAUUGGUUUAAACAGUUAUUUAUAUUUUAGGGUUUUUAUUUAAAUUUGUAAGGUGAAAUUUAAAAUUUUUUAGAAAUUCUUUUUAUGAUUCUGUGAAACUUAAAAAAUAAACUAGGAUUAGAUACCCUAUUAUUUUAGGUGUAAAUUAUAUUUACCAGGGUAUUGUUAGUUAGGAUCUUUAAACCCAGAGAAUUUGGCGGUAUCUUAGUCCGUUCAGAGGAGCCUGCCCCAUAAUUGAUAAUACACGAUUUUCUUUACUUAAUCUAUUUGUUUGUAUAUCUCCGUUAUCAGAGGAUUUUUUUAGAUUUAUAAUUCUCUUAAAUUAUAAUUAUAAUUUAUUUCAGGUCAAGGUGCAGCUUAUGUUUAAGAGGAGGUGGGUUACAAUAUAUUUUUGUUUAUAACGGAUUUAUUUGUUAAUUAAAUUAAUGAAGGUGGAUUUGAUAGUAAUUUAAUUAUUUUAAGUUAAUUGAUAUUGGCUCUGAGGUGUGUACAUAUCGCCCGUCGCUCUCAUCAUUGGUUAAGUAUAAUUAUUUUAUAUAAUGUGUUAUUAGGUUAGAUGAGAUAAGUCGUAACAUAGUAGAUGUACUGGAAAGUGUAUCUAGAUAGUUUU
rnacentral:ncRNA from 1 species